rnacentral:rRNA from 1 species
AUGCAUGUUCUUCGUUUAUAUCUAAAUUGUGACCUGGAUCUCGCGAAUAUAUCGAUUCCAGCCAACGAUGACACUAUGACUUCAAUUCGAUUGAUUCUUAACAAAUUAGUAUUUUCAAUUUGUGAGGGCCGUUCUCUCUAUAUAAGAAAUCGUUGA